CCUACGGGAGGCAGCAGUGAGGAAUAUUGGUCAAUGGUCGGAAGACUGAACCAGCCAAGCCGCGUGAGGGAGGAAGGCCCAGAGUAUUGUAAACCUCUUUUGUCAGGGAACAAAGAAUGCUACGCGUCGCCGGAUGCGUGUACCUGAAGAAAAAGCAUCGGCUAACUCCGUGCCAGCAGCCGCGGUAAUACGGAGGAUGCGAGCGUUAUCCGGAUUUAUUGGGUUUAAAGGGUGCGUAGGCGGUCUUUUAAGUCAGUGGUAAAAGGUCGGGGCUUAACCCCGGCCCGCCGUUGAGACUGGCAGUCUCGAGUUGGAGAGAGGUAGGCGGAAUGCGCGAAGUAGCGGUGAAAUGCUUAGAUAUAGCGUAGAACUCCGAUAGCGAAGGCAGCAUGCCAGCUCCACACUGACGCUGAAGCACGAGAGCGUGGGUAGCGAACAGGAUUAGAUACCCCAGUAGUC
rnacentral:rRNA from 1 species